rnacentral:rRNA from 1 species
UGGGGAAUAUUGCACAAUGGAGGGAACUCUGAUGCAGCGACGCCGCGUGAACGAAGAAGGCUUUCGAGUCGUAAAGUUCUUUUAUAUGGGAAGAUAAUGACGGUACCAUAAGAAAAAGCCCCGGCUAACUACGUGCCAGCAGCCGCGGUAAUACGUAGGGGGCUAGCGUUGUCCGGAAUCACUGGGCGUAAAGGGUUCGCAGGCGGAAUGCAAGUCAGGUGUAAAAGGCAGUAGCUUAACUACUGUAAGCAUUUGAAACUGCAUAUCUUGAGAAGAGUAGAGGUAAGUGGAAUUUUUAGUGUAGCGGUGAAAUGCGUAGAUAUUAAAAAGAAUACCGGUGGCGAAGGCGACUUACUGGGCUCAUUCUGACGCUGAGGAACGAAAGCGUGGGUAGCAAACAGG